GACGAACGCUGGCGGCGUGCUUAACACAUGCAAGUCGAACGAUGAAGUUCCUUCGGGAAUGGAUUAGUGGCGAACGGGUGAGGAACACGUGAGAAACCUGCCUUUCAUUUUGGGAUAACUCCGGGAAACCGGGGCUAAAACCGAAUACUCCGUCUCGGCGGCAUCGCUGAGCUGGGAAAAAAUUUUGACGAAAGAUGGUCUCGCGGCCUAUCAGCUAGUUGGUGAGGUAAUGGCUCACCAAGGCAACGACGGGUAGCCGGCCUGAGAGGGCGACCGGCCACACGGGGACGGAGACACGGCCCAGACUCCGACGGGAGGCAGCAGUGGGGAAUAUUGGGCAAUGGGCGCAAGCCUGACCCAGCGACGCCGCGUGAGGGAUGAAGGCCUUCGGGUUGUAAACCUCUUUCAGUAGGGAAGAAGCGAAAGUGACGGUACCUAAAGAAGAAGCACCGGCUAACUAUGUGCCAGCCGCCGCCGUAA
rnacentral:rRNA from 1 species